GACGAAGGAUGCAAGCGUUAUCCGGAUUCAUUGGGUUUAAAGGGAGCGUAGGCGGAUUGGUAAGUCAGUGGUGAAAUCUGUGGGCUUAACCCACAAACUACCAUUGAUACUGCUGAUCUAGAGUACAGUUGCCGUUGGCGGAAUAUGACAUGUAGUGGUGAAAUACUUAGAUAUGUCAUAGAACACCGAUUGCGAAGGCAGCUAACGAAGCUGUAACUGACGCUGAGGCUCGAAAGUGCGGGGAUCAAACAGG
rnacentral:rRNA from 1 species